rnacentral:rRNA from 1 species
UGGGGAAUUUUGGACAAUGGGCGAAGCCUGAUCCAGCAAUGCCGCGUGUGUGAAGAAGGCCUUCGGGUUGUAAAGCACUUUUUGUCCGGAAAGAAAUCCUUGGCUCUAAUACAGUCGGGGGAUGACGGUACCGGAAGAAUAAGCACCGGCUAACUACGUGCCAGCAGCCGCGGUAAUACGUAGGGUGCAAGCGUUAAUCGGAAUUACUGGGCGUAAAGCGUGCGCAGGCGGUUUGCUAAGACCGAUGUGAAAUCCCCGGGCUCAACCUGGGAACUGCAUUGGUGACUGGCAGGCUAGAGUAUGGCAGAGGGGGGUAGAAUUCCACGUGUAGCAGUGAAAUGCGUAGAGAUGUGGAGAAUACCGAUGGCGAAGGCAGCCCCCUGGGCCAAAUACUGACGCUCAUGCACGAAAGCGUGGGGAGCAAACAGGAUUAGAUACCCUGGUAGUCCACGCCCUAAACGAUGUCAACUAGUUGUUGGGGAUUCAUUUCCUUAGUAACGUAGCUAACGCGUGAAGUUGACCGCCUGGGGAGUACGGUCGCAAGAUUAAAACUUAAAUGAAUUGACGGGGUCAUAGCUGUUUCCU